rnacentral:lncRNA from 1 species
AUGCAAUAAGACAAACCAUUCAAUAAACAUUUUAAAUAUUCAAUAAUCCAUAAGUUCUAAAUUUGCCUACCCAAACCUAAGAUUUGCCUAUUGAUUCUUGGCCUAGUACAUGAUGAUACCAUAUUCAACCAAGAUCAAAAUUUGUUUCGAUUUAAGCCAAAAUCAAUAAAUCAACAUAAACUAAUGUUCACUUUUAUCAAUGUUUCAAUUUCCACCCUUAACUUCAUUUACGUCAAACGAGGUUAAAUCCUUCAAUUUAACCAAUUCAAGAGGAUCAAUCGACCAAUAUCCACA